rnacentral:rRNA from 1 species
AUUGAACGCUGGCGGCAUGCCUUACACAUGCAAGUCGAACGGUAACGGGCCUUCGGGUUCCUCCUAGUGGCGGCCGGUUGAGUACUACUUCGGAAUGUGCCCGAUCCUGGUUUUUCAUGGGGCAUAAGCUUUGCUAAUUCCCCCUACUAUCUCCUACUACCAACGGGUGACCGCACGGCCUUUUGCGACCUUGCCCGCCGAUGUCAGAUUAGGUAGUUGUUGGGAUAAAAGCUUACCAAGGCGACGAUCUGUAGCUGGUCUGAGAGGAUGAUCAGCCACACUGGGACUGAGACACGGCCCAGACUCCUACGGGAGGCAGCAGUGGGGAAUAUUGGACAAUGGGCGCAAGCCUGAUCCAGCCAUGCCGCGUGGAGGAUGAAGGCCUUCGGGUUGUAAAGUGCUUUUGUACGGAACGAAAAGCAGUAUGUUAAUACAGGAGGGUCAUGACGGUACCGAAAGAAUAAGCACCGGCUAACUACGUG